UCUUUUUGAAAGUCAAUUCAAAAUCAGACUAUAUUUAUAAAUCAGAGUAAGUGAAAAUUUACCCUUUUUUUUAAAACCUGAACCCAAAGACGUGCAACAAACCUGCCACAAAUACAGAAAAUUUUCGAAACAAAUAGAUAGAGCAUUCCCUGUAUUUGCACGGUAUAGCACAUAGUACAAAUUAAUUAACAACCAGAUCUCCACUCACACACACAUAAUAGUGGGAUGUACAAGGAUCAUUAUAUUUUCUCAAACAGCUAGCCAUUCUUAGUCACAUCCAUUCCACAUUCAUUCACAUUCAUCCUAGAAGUUGAAAAUGUCCCUCACACGAAGACGUCCUUUUUUAAAACUCUAAUUCUGCGAAAAAUCUUGAGAAAACCAUUUAAAAACGUUCCCCACACGAAAACUAUUAUUUUAAAAAUGCUACCACGAGGGAUAGACAACAAUCGAUAGAAAUCCAAAUAUGAAAUCACAUGUGUUCAAAAACUACGAAUGAUCGAAACCAUAAUGUUAAAGUAUAAAAAAGGGGAGAGGAAAUUUGAAUGCAGCUUUUGAAUAGUAGAAAAUUUAGGAACAUGGUGCAUAGGUUAAUCUAUGC
rnacentral:lncRNA from 1 species